GCUUCCUUGGUGUAGUCGGUUAUCACGUCGGUCUCAUAGCUUCAAGUUUAUGACUGCUCUCAGUAGUAGAAAUCCGAAGGCCGCCAGUUCGAAUCUGGCAGGGAGCA